rnacentral:tRNA from 2 species
GCUCCCAUGGCCGAAUGGUUAUAGUUCUUGGCUUGCACCCAAGGAACCGAUGUUCGAUGCCUGGGAGCG